CGGGUGAGUAAAGCAUCGGAACGUACCCUAGAGUGGGGGAUAACUAUCCGAAAGGAUAGCUAAUACCGCAUAUUCUAUGAGUAGGAAAGCGGGGGAUCUUCGGACCUCGCGCUCUAGGAGCGGCCGAUGUCAGAUUAGGUAGUUGGUGGGGUAAAGGCCUACCAAGCCGACGAUCUGUAGCGGGUCUGAGAGGAUGAUCCGCCACACUGGGACUGAGACACGGCCCAGACUCCUACGGGAGGCAGCAGUGGGGAAUUUUGGACAAUGGGGGCAACCCUGAUCCAGCCAUGCCGCGUGAGUGAAGAAGGCCUUCGGGUUGUAAAGCUCUUUCGGCCGGGAAGAAAUCGUGUGGGCUAAUACCCUGCAUGGAUGACGGUACCGGAAUAAGAAGCACCGGCUAACUACGUGCCAGCAGCCGCGGUAAUACGUAGGGUGCGAGCGUUAAUCGGAAUUACUGGGCGUAAAGCGUGCGCAGGCGGUUUUUUAAGACAGGCGUGAAAUCCCCGGGCUUAACCUGGGAACUGCGCUUGUGACUGGAAGGCUAGAGUACGGCAGAGGGGGGUGGAAUUCCACGUGUAGCAGUGAAAUGCGUAGAGAUGUGGAGGAACACCGAUGGCGAAGGCAGCCCCCUGGGCCGAUACUGACGCUCAUGCACGAAAGCGUGGGGAGUAUACAGGAUUAGAUACCCUGGUAGUCCACGCCCUAAACCAUAAUGGGGUUGUUGGG
rnacentral:rRNA from 1 species